rnacentral:lncRNA from 1 species
CGCGUCCACAGAGUCCUCAUGCGCAGCAGUGUUUGGAUGGCGUUUCCGCCUUGAAACUGUUUAAAAGCUUUGACUUUAGGCAUUUUUAGUUAUUUAUAUGGUGCUAUAUUUAACUUCACACGGUGGAAGACGCUGUCAGAGGAAAUAAUUCAGAGGUAAGAGUGCCCACAGAGGUAUCAGUCUCUCAGGAUGGCUGACCCAGCGACCCCCCAGCCUGCCCAUUCAUCUUCCAGCAUGUCCAUGCAGUCCGAUUCAGGGAAAGGUCACUCCAAGAGCAAACGCAUAUCCUCCACACCAGUCCCCAGGUUGGAGUUGAGAAAGAGAAGCCUGUCUCAGAGGUGGAUAUUUCAGCAGAUAAAGUAAAUUCCUA